rnacentral:rRNA from 1 species
GAGUUUGAUCCUGGUUCAGGAUGAACGCUAGCUACAGGCUUAACACAUGCAAGUCGAGCGGUUUGUGCUUUUGCACAUUCAGCGGCAGACGGGUGAGUAACACGUAUCUAACCUUCCCCUUACUUGGGCAUAGCCUCUGGAAACGGAGAUUAAUUUCCGAUGUGGUGUACAUUUCGCAUGUUUUGCGCACCAAAGAUUUAUCGGUAAGGGAUGGGGAUGCGCUCCAUUAGGUUGUAGGUAGGGUAAUGGCCUACCUAGCCUAUGAUGGAUAGGGGUUCUGAGAGGAAGGUCCCCCACAUUGGAACUGCGACACGGUCCAAACUCCUACGGGAGGCAGCAGUGAGGAAUAUUGGUCAAUGGCCGGAAGGCUGAACCAGCCAAGUAGCGUGCAGGAUGACUGCCUUAUGGGUUGUAAACUGCUUUUUUACGGGAAUAAUUAUGAUCACGUGUGAUUAUUUGCAUGUACCGUAAGAGUAAGGAUCGGCUAACUCCGUGCCAGCAGCCGCGGUAAUACGGAGGAUCCUAGUGUUAUCCGGAUUUAUUGGGUUUAAAGGGAGCGUAGGCGGGAGGUCAAGUCAGCUGUGAAAUGUAUCUGCUUAACGGGUACACUGCAGUUGAAACUGGUUUUCUUGAGUGCGUAAGAGGCAGGCGGAAUUCGUUGUGUAGCGGUGAAAUGCUUAGAUAUGACGAGGAACUCCUAUUGCGAAGGCAGCUUGCUGGGUCGUUACUGACGCUGAUGCUCGAAGUGCGGGGAUCAAACAGGAUUAGAUACCCUGGUAGUCCGCACAGUAAACUAUGGAUACUCUCUGCCGGCGAUAUAUUGUCGGUG